UAAAGCCACUCUGGUGGUGCACUACGCGUGGCCUACCCUCGCUCUGCUAAGAGUGCCUUGGUGCUGCUGUAUGAGGGUUGCCCCAACCCUCUCGAUUCCGACAACAUCUCGAUCCUCUACGUGGCGGCCAAUCGCAGGAUCCCCACGUGCGGCGUUUUGAAGUGAAGGCCUUCCAGUUUAUGGACAAGUCCACCAAUAAAUACCUCAAUGAGGAGAUCUACUUCAUGUGCUCUACCGAGUCUGUAUGCCGUCCCAGACUCCGUGUAAGGAGACCUGCUUUGAUGGCAAGUCUUCAUCUACCACAGCUGCAGAUGUGUUGAACUCAUAUUCUCAAUUAAAAGUCAAGCACUUUUAAAUUCAA